AGUGUGCUAAGAUUUUGACCUGGUGUGAGGGCCGCAGGAGACAUUCUGGGGGCAGACGGAGGUGUAGACAGCAUCUCCAUUUCUCCUGUCCAGGGAGUGACCAGUGACAAUGAACCAGCGUCGGUCGGAUGUGCCCGUUUCUGCUCUGCACCUCCUC